rnacentral:rRNA from 1 species
CAGGACGAACGCUGGCGGCGUGCUUAACACAUGCAAGUCGAACGCUGAAGCUUGGUGCUUGCACUGGGUGGAUGAGUGGCGAACGGGUGAGUAAUACGUGAGUAACCUGCCCUUGACUCUGGGAUAAGCCUGGGAAACUGGGUCUAAUACUGGAUAUGACCUCCUGUCGCAUGGUGGGGGGUGGAAAGGGUUUGUACUGGUUGUGGAUGGGCUCACGGCCUAUCAGCUUGUUGGUGGGGUAAUGGCCUACCAAGGCGACGACGGGUAGCCGGCCUGAGAGGGUGACCGGCCACACUGGGACUGAGACACGGCCCAGACUCCUACGGGAGGCAGCAGUGGGGAAUAUUGCACAAUGGGCGCAAGCCUGAUGCAGCGACGCCGCGUGAGGGAUGACGGCCUUCGGGUUGUAAACCUCUUUCAGCACGGAAGAAGCGAAAGUGACGGUACGUGCAGAAGAAGCGCCGGCUAACUACGUGCCAGCAGCCGCGGUAAUACGUAGGGCGCAAGCGUUGUCCGGAAUUAUUGGGCGUAAAGAGCUCGUAGGCGGUUUGUCGCGUCUGCUGUGAAAGCCCGGGGCUUAACCCCGGGUGUGCAGUGGGUACGGGCAGACUUGAGUGCAGUAGGGGAGACUGGAACUCCUGGUGUAGCGGUGAAAUGCGCAGAUAUCAGGAAGAACACCGAUGGCGAAGGCAGGUCUCUGGGCUGUUACUGACGCUGAGGAGCGAAAGCAUGGGGAGCGAACAGGAUUAGAUACCCUGGUAGUCCAUGCCGUAAACGUUGGGCA